UGUUCCUAAUGCAGUUUAAUCCUGUAUCAGCAUCUCCCAGAACCUGUUACAGCAUGAGCCAGCAUGCACCCAUGUGGACUUACUACCCUUUGUGGCAUUCUGAGGGUCCACUGAUGACCAAAUAGACCACAUAAUGACCCUAAAGCACAGGAGGCUGUUUAGACUGGCUCGGAUAGAAAGAAGCUUAAAUUCAGAUGUCUGUCUCACGUAGGGUCCUGCUCAGGAAUGGCUAUAGUAAUUCAUAGGACCAGUCAAAAAGAAAUUUCUCUCUCUUUAUUUCUGUAUAUGAAAAUGAUACUCAUAAACCAACCAGGAUAUUGUUAUACUCUUUAUAUACUUCAAUAAUACGUUAUGGAAUCACAGUGAAUUACAGUUUGCAAAGGACUUUCACAUACAUUGAUUCGUUUGUUCCUUGUGAGCACUUUGUUCCUUAUAAGCACUGGGUAAAGUAGGUAGGACAGAUUUUUUUAGAGAUGAGGAAGUAAACCAGUUUCAUAGUCAUUAAGUUAUUUGUCCAUGUCAAACAACAAUUAAAUGUCAGAACUCAUUUGUGUUUUUUUAUUCUGCUGAAGUGUCAUGCUUAGGAAAUCCUUCUUACUUAAUAUUAACUUGUGUAUGCCGGAAUUGGUAUUUUUCAAACAAGUUGAUUAGUGAAUGCCUUCUGAGAGCUUAAAGCUCAAAACAUCUCACAGUUAGUAAUUUGGACUUAAAAGUGAAUCCUGUCUGAAUUACCAAAUUUGGGGAGUUUUACCCAAAUAUUCCAUUUUAAUUUCAUUCAAAAUCACAAAGUAAACCUUACUGGCAAAUUGUACUUCAGUAAACCUACUGUAACUAAUUGGUAGAUUUCGAUCAUUUUGAUAAUAUGCUUUCAUUAUUGGUAUGGGUUGUAACAGUCCACAAUUAUUUGGAGACUAGCAAAUAUUUGAUAUGUUUAAGCCAAAACAAAAUAAAAACCUCUAUUACAUUGAUUUUGUUUAUUUCAAUAGCUGAUUGUAAAAUUUAAGAUUUGCCAAUAAAAGUAAUUUCAUAGCUAA